UUUAAACACCGGUUCCCGUACGAAUACCAAAGUUAAGCAAUAUCGAGCCUGGUCAGUACCUAGAUGGGUGACCACUUGAUGAUACCGGG